rnacentral:rRNA from 1 species
GACGAACGCUGGCGGCGUGCUUAACACAUGCAAGUCGAACGGAAAGGCCCUGCUUUUGUGGGGUGCUCGAGUGGCGAACAGGUGAGUAACACGUGAGUAACCUGCCCUUGACUUUGGGAUAACUUCAGGAAACUGGGGCUAAUACCGGAUAGGAGCUCCUGCUGCAUGGUGGGGGUUGGAAAGUUUCGGCGGUUGGGGAUGGACUCGCGGCUUAUCAGCUUGUUGGUGGGGUAGUGGCUUUCCAAGGCUUUGACGGGUAGCCGGCCUGAGAGGGUGACCGGCCACAUUGGGACUGAGAUACGGCCCAGACUCCUACGGGAGGCAGCAGUGGGGAAUAUUGCACAAUGGGCGGAAGCCUGAUGCAGCAACGCCGCGUGCGGGAUGACGGCCUUCGGGUUGUAAACCGCUUUCGCCUGUGACGAAGCGUGAGUGACGGUAAUGGGUAAAGAAGCACCGGCUAACUACGUG